UCCAGGAAUCUAUGAGGAUAUCUUCACUGGUGGACCAAUACCAGAUUGUGAAACAGAUGACACACCAGAGGGAUAUUAUGAUGUCAUUACUAGUGGACAGAACUAUGAUACUGAAAAAGUGGACACACCAGAGAAUUAUGAUGAUGUCAUCAUUAAUGGAGAGUGCUCUCAAUGUGCAAAAGAGGGAGAUCAGGAGGAAUAUGAUGAUGUGUGGAGUAUCACUGAAGAUGUGAGAAACCUGUUAGACUAUGAUGAUGUGGGGGAGGAGUCAAACUGUGAGGGAGGGGCCAUUUGACUCAGUGGCCACACCCACUGCCUCUGUUUUUUUUUCAUUUUAUUUCAUUAAGCAUUCAUGAUCAACCUAAAAUAAGAUGUUUG